CAACCUGGUGAUCCUGCCAGUAGUCAUAUGCUUGUCUCGAAGAUUAAGCCAUGCAUGUCUCAGUUUAAGUUUCUGCCCUGCAACACUGUGCAUGGCUCAUUAUCACAGCCACAAUUUGGUUGAUGUUCCAAUGACAUGGACAUCUGCGGAAAUGCUGUAGUUAACACAUGCUCAAGACAGAAGCAAACACAGGUGUGGAUUGUGGUCAUUUCUUUGCAGAACCAAUGCAGGCUUUGCCUGGCCUACAGAAGAUUCAUGAUGAUGGAACGGCUUGUGGUGCAUCAGCUCGUGAUGAGUUCUGAGAGUUUCUGACCUAUCAGCUUCCGACGGCAGGGUAAUGGCCUACCGUGGCAGUAACAGGUGACGGAGGAUUAGGGUUUGACUCCGGAGAGGGAGCCUGAGAAAUGGCUACCACAUCUAAGGAAGGCAGCAGGCUCGCAAAUUGCCCAAUCCUGACAGAGAGAGGUAGUGACAAGAAAUAGCAAUACAAGGCAUGCAUUGUUUUGUACUUGGAAUGAAAGAGCAGCAAACCCCAUUUUGAGUGUCAACUGGAGGGCAAGUCUGGUGCCAGCAGCCGCGGUAAUUCCAGCUCCAGUGGCGUAAUUAGAGUUGUUGCGGUUAAAAGGCUCGUAGUUGGAUUUCUGUUGGGGUUUGCUGGUCCGCCCUUUGGGCGAGUAUCUGGUGCAGUCUUGACAUUAUUUUCAAGAGUGCAACUGCACUUGACUGUGUGGUGCACAGUUGAAGACAAUUACCUUGAGGAAAUGAGGGUGUUUAAAGCAAGUGAGCGCUGUGAAUAUAGAAGCAUGGAAUAGUGUAUCAAACCUUGGCUUUGUUUUGUUGGUUUCUGGAGCAGAGAUACAGCAGAAAGGGGAUGGUUGGGGGCGUCUGUAUUUGACUGUCAGAGGUGAAAUUCUUGAAUUUGUCAAGGAUAGACAAAUGCGAAGGCAUUUGCCAAGGACGUUUUCAUUGAUCAAGAACGAAAGUUAGGGGAUCGAAGACGAUUAGAUACCGUCCUAGUCUUAACAAUAAACCAUGCCAACUAGAGAUUGGGUGUUGUUACCUGUGGUACUCCUUCAGCACCUUGUGAGAAAUUCAAGUCUUUGGGUUCUGGGGGGAGUAUGGUCGCAAGGCUGAAACUUAGAGGAAUUGACGGAAGGGCACCACCAGGAGUGGAGCCUGCGGCUUAAUUUGACUCAACACGGGAAAACUUGCCAGGUCCUGACACAUGUGGGAUUGACAGAUUGACAGCUCUUUCUAGAUUCUGUGGGUGGUGGUGCAUGGCCGUUCUUAGUUGGUGGAGUGAUUUGUCUGGUCAAUUCCGUUACCGAGCGAGACCUUAACAUGCUAAAUAGCGCACGCACAAUCACGACUGUGUGGACAACUUCUUAGAGGGACUUUGUGUGUCUAGCACAGGGAASUGUGAGGCAWUAACAGGUCUGUGAUGCCCUUAUAUGUUCUGGGCUGCACGCGCGCUACACUGACACACCCAGUCAGCAUCCCACCUUGCCUGCAAAGGCUGGGCAACCUGGCUAACCUGUGUCGUGAUGGGGAUGGAUCAUUGCAACUAUUGUUCCCAAACGAGGAAUUCUAGUAGGCGUAAGUCAUCAACUUGUGUUGAUUAUGUCCCUGCCCUUUGUACACACCGCCCGUCGCUCCUACCGAUUGAGUGGUCCGGUGAACAGUCUGGAUCGUCUGUGGGAUCUAGCUCUUGGAUAGUGCAGCUGCAAGCUCAGUGAACCUUAUCACUUAGAGGAAGGAGAAGUCGUAACAAGGUUUCCGUAGGUG
rnacentral:rRNA from 1 species